GCCCAGGUGGCUCAGUGGUUGAGCAUCUGCCUUCAGCCCCAGGACGUGAUCCUGGAGACCUGGGAUCGAGUCCCAUUCCGGGCU
rnacentral:tRNA from 1 species